UACGAUGAGAUUGAUUAAGUGGCUCUAGGCGGCGAUUACAGUUGGCUAGCUUGAGGCCGAAGGAAAAGAGAGGGGAUGGCCAUGACGGCAGCAGGAAGGAGUGUAGGCCCCGCCCCGCCUGGGAGGCAGAGCUCAGCGGGGCUGAACAAGGCAAGCCAAAGAAUCCAAGUCCAGCCAGUCCAAUUCCCACGCUGCCACGCAUUACACCAAGGACGAUGGUUUACCGACGAGAUCUUGUGCUGCUUGUGCGUGGGCAGGUGUUGAUAGCGAUGCGCCUAGAUUUCCAAGGACAUGCACAUGGGAUGUGUCGUACCGAUGUGUGCCGGCGUCGGCGAGAUCGCGAGCCGAGAUCUUACGCCAACUCCAACACGACCUCAAGACGUC
rnacentral:lncRNA from 1 species